rnacentral:rRNA from 1 species
GACGAACCGUGCGAACGUUGUUCGGAAUCACUGGGCUUAAAGGGCGCGUAGGCGGGUUCUCAAGUCUGGAGUGAAAGCCCACGGCUCAACCGUGGAAGUGCUUUGGAUACUGAGGAUCUCGAGGGAGGUAGGGGCGUGCGGAACUUCCGGUGGAGCGGUGAAAUGCGUAGAUAUCGGAAGGAACACCGGUGGCGAAAGCGGCGCGCUGGACCUUUACUGACGCUGAGGCGCGAAAGCCAGGGGAGCAAACGGG